UUUCCGGUGGCGAUUCCUAAA
rnacentral:piRNA from 1 species